rnacentral:rRNA from 1 species
AUUGAACGCCGGCGGCAGGCUUAACACAUGCAAGUCGAGCGGAGAUGAGGUGCUUGCACCUUAUCUUAGCGGCGGACGGGUGAGUAAUGCUUAGGAAUCUGCCUAUUAGUGGGGGACAACAUUCCGAAAGGAAUGCUAACACCGCAUACGUCCUACGGGAGAAAGCAGGGGAUCUUCGGACCUUGCGCUAAUAGAUGAGCCUAAGUCGGAUUAGCUAGUUGGUGGGGUAAAGGCCUACCAGGGCGACGAUCUGUAGCGGGUCUGAGAGGAUGAUCCGCCACACUGGGACUGAGACACGGCCCAGACUCCUACGGGAGGCAGCAGUGGGGAAUAUUGGACAAUGGGGGGAACCCUGAUCCAGCCAUGCCGCGUGUGUGAAGAAGGCCUUAUGGUUGUAAAGCACUUUAAGCGAGGAGGAGGCUACUGAGACUAAUACUCUUGGAUAGUGGACGUUACUCGCAGAAGAAGCACCGGCUAACUCUGUGCCAGCCGCCGCGGUAACAC